AAGUCGUAACAAGGUCUCCGUUGGUGAACCAGCGGAGGGAUCAUUACCGAGUUUACAACUCCCAAACCCCUGUGAACAUACCUAUAACGUUGCCUCGGCGGCUCCCCGCCUCCCCGUAACACGGGAGCGGCCCGCCAGAGGACCCAACAAACUCUGUUAUUUUCAGUAUCUUCUGAGUAAAAACACAAUCAAUUAAAACUUUCAACAACGGAUCUCUUGGUUCUG
rnacentral:misc_RNA from 1 species